ACUUGAAUUGCUCACAGCUCAUGUAUGAUUUAACAGGCAACAGCAGAGAUAUAAGCAUGCCUGAAUCUCCAGAGCAUGACAAAGGAGUGGAUGGAUAGCACCACAUUCCUGAAAUCUCACUCCAGAUCAAAAAAUAAACUGCAAAAGGAAAAUAAAUGAAUCAUUCUCAUGUCCACUGUGGAUGAAGUUACACAGCAUCACAGAAUCAGAGCUUUAAGAAAUUUUGACAUGUUCUUUCAGAUUCCAAUUCUUUGGAUUCUUAAGCCAAACUUUUUCAAGGCUCUUUCAACAGAUGCACAUGCUGGGGCCCUCUUCUAGGAGGUCUUACAGC
rnacentral:lncRNA from 1 species